rnacentral:pre_miRNA from 1 species
CAUGCACUGGUGGGGUUCCUCGGCCUGGCCUGCAUCCUCUCACAAUCCAGGACCCCUUGGGGGAUGUUAGAGAGCCAGUUUUGGCCCGAUCCUGCAGGCCAGGCCGAGGGACCCCACCAGUGCAUG